rnacentral:rRNA from 1 species
CAGAGGGGGCAAGCGUUGUUCGGAAUUACUGGGCGUAAAGGGCGCGUAGGCGGCCUGCUAAGUCGAACGUGAAAUCCCUGGGCUCAACCCAGGAACUGCGUCCGAUACUGGUUGGCUUGAAUCCGGGAGGGGGAUGUGGAAUUCCAGGUGUAGCGGUGAAAUGCGUAGAUAUCUGGAGGAACACCGGUGGCGAAGGCGACAUCCUGGACCGGUAUUGACGCUGAGGCGCGAAAGCCAGGGGAGCAAACGGGAUUAGAUACCCCGGUAGUCCUGGCCCUAAACGAUGAAUGCUUGGUGUGGUGGGUAUCGAUCCCUACCGUGCCGAAGCUAACGCAUUAAGCAUUCCGCCUGGGGAGUACGGUCGCAAGGCUG